AAGAACUAACCCAUUCAAAUCAUUUUAGGCCUUUGUGCCUUUCAAACUUAAAUUUUGUUAAAAUCAACACACUCAUUUUGAAAUUUGUAGCACGAACUACGAGGUUUUGAUCCCUCAUUUUUAUAAAAUCAACACACUCAUUUUGAAAUUUGUAGCACGAACUACGAGGUUUUGAUCCCUCAUUUUUAUGUUGGUACGUAGGCACAAGACCGAAGGUCUUGUCAAACACAAAAAUAUAAUUAAUGAAUUC
rnacentral:lncRNA from 1 species